UCUAAUAUGGCAGAUUAGUGCAUUGAAUUUAAGCUUCAAAUAUAAAAUAACUUUUUGUUAGAA
rnacentral:tRNA from 1 species